UGGGGAAUUUUGGACAAUGGGCGAAAGCCUGAUCCAGCAAUGCCGCGUGUGUGAAGAAGGCCUUCGGGUUGUAAAGCACUUUUGUCCGGAAAGAAAUCCUUGGCUCUAAUACAGUCGGGGGAUGACGGUACCGGAAGAAUAAGCACCGGCUAACUACGUGCCAGCAGCCGCGGUAAUACGUAGGGUGCAAGCGUUAAUCGGAAUUACUGGGCGUAAAGCGUGCGCAGGCGGUUUGCUAAGACCGAUGUGAAAUCCCCGGGCUCAACCUGGGAACUGCAUUGGUGACUGGCAGGCUAGAGUAUGGCAGAGGGGGGUAGAAUUCCACGUGUAGCAGUGAAAUGCGCAGAGAUGUGGAGGAAUACCGAUGGCGAAGGCAGCCCCCUGGGCCAAUACUGACGCUCAUGCACGAAAGCGUGGGGAGCAAACAGGAUUAGAUACCCUGGUAGUCCAGCGCCCUAAAACGAUGUCAACUAGUUGUUGGGGAUUCAUUUCCUUAGUAACGUAGCUAACGCGUGAAGUUGACCGCCUGGGGAGUACGGUCGCAAGAUUAAAACUCAAAUGAAUUGACGGGGUCAUAGCUGUUUCCU
rnacentral:rRNA from 1 species